rnacentral:rRNA from 1 species
UACGUAGGACGCAAGCGUUGUCCGGAAUUAUUGGGCGUAAAGAGCUCGUAGGCGGCUUGUCACGUCGGAUGUGAAAGCCCGGGGCUUAACCCCGGGUCUGCAUUCGAUACGGGCUAGCUAGAGUGUGGUAGGGGAGAUCGGAAUUCCUGGUGUAGCGGUGAAAUGCGCAGAUAUCAGGAGGAACACCGGUGGCGAAGGCGGAUCUCUGGGCCAUUACUGACGCUGAGGAGCGAAAGCGUGGGGAGCGAACAGG